rnacentral:rRNA from 1 species
GACGAACGCUGGCGGCGCGCUUAACACAUGCAAGUCGAGCGAAGCGGCGGACGGGUGAGUAACACGUGAGUCACCUGCCUUAGACAUUGGGAUAGCGCCGGGAAACCGUGAUUAAUACUAAAUGGUCUAAGAUUGACGCGCGUCCCUUUAUCUAGUUGGUGUGAAACGGCCCACCAAGGGGACGAUGCGUAGCCGGCCUGGAGGGGUGGACGGCCACAUUGGAACUGGGAAACGGUCCAAACUCUACGAGAUGCAGCAAUGGUGAAUAAUGCACAAUGGAGGGAACUCUGAUGCAGCCACACCGCGUGAACUAAGAAGGCUUUCGAGUCGUAAAGUUCUUUUAAAAGUGAAGCGGUACCAUAAGAAAAAGCCCCGGCUAACUACGUGCCAGCAGCCGCGGUAAUAC